GAAUUACAUGACACCCACUUUGUGUUCAUGCACGCCACCUACUUGCAAAGGGUCACUCGGCAUUUUUGCGAGGAUAAAGGGAAAGAAUUUGACAUUGCGGCGGAGGUUAGACAUGCAGGCCAGGCCACGGAUGUGCGCCAUCUCGUACCCUUGACAAAAGCGGGCAUACAGCACUUUUCGACCUUUUUGCCACCAGUAAGAAGCAAAGAUGACCUCGAUACUCUGCCCGAGAGGCUGAAAGGGAGCGAGGAGCUUGGCUUCUCGCCUUUGUUCGACCCCUCUUUGAUUGAUGCGUGCUGCCAGCGCGGCAUUUUUCCCUUGGCGAUUGCAAUCGACGACAACAAUUUUCUCUUUGCUCCAAAGCUGCACGCGGAGAGGGCUGUUUGCGCGCUUGCUGAAGGCGCAGCACAGCGCAACACUAUGGAUGGUUUUCCCUUCUGUGAGGGUGACGAGGGCAUUUUCGACAAGGAUUGCCUGGGGGUUUCGCGAAAGCUCACAAAAGCGCCGAACGAAAGUACCCGUUGUCCCUCGUUCGACAUUUUCAUUAAUCGAAAAGAGGACCUAGUCGACGUUUUUACGCUAAUAAGGCGGCAGCAUGGCGAAAAUUGGCUGUGCGCGCCGCUACGAGUGUGUUUGCUCCACAUGUUUUUCAAUCCAACCAAGUACGCAACCAAAAUUAUUGUCACUGCUGUUCGUCAUCGACAAUAUAGCAACGUGCCUAUCUCAGGGAACUCACCUGUGAUUCAAGAAGGGGAGCUCGUUGCAUGCGAAGUUGGCUAUCUAGUUGGAGACAUUUACGCUUCCGCAACCGGUGCAUACUGUAUUAGCGGCGGUGGGUCUCUGCAAUUGAGCCUAACUGGCGUUUGCAUGAAAUCGGCUGGUUGCCGCUUAUGGGAUUUGGGAAUGAUGUUGAGAUACAAGAAAUCUCUGCAAUGCGUUUCUUUACCUCGUAAAAAAUGGCAAAAGAUGGUCUCAGCGCGCCGCUCGAUCCCCAACGAACAUAUUUUGAACUAUUUGCGAGAUUUGGAGAAAGGGCGCCCAGUGAGUGACUUUUUAAAAAGUGACGUACCACCUGCCAUCGCCGAUCCGAACAGCAAGUCGCAACACAAGAAGCGGCUAAAGAAAGAGGCUGCUAUCCAGCGAAAGGCAGAAAGAAGAAGGCUUGAUCUAUAGGCUUGAUCAGCUACUUGGCUUUCAACAAUAUACGUAUAUAUAUAUAUAUAUAUGUAUGUAUUUGGUGGUCUUGUAUUGUCUAGCUGUCUCACAUUUUGCGCCCCCAAGAGACGACAGCAGUGAAAAAAAAAGGAGAGCAUGUCCAGAAAUAGGGAAGGCUUUGUAGCUGCCUCUCUCUUUUGUACACGUUCAGCCUUUUCUUCUAUGGUGGCAACGUGUCGAACGAAGUACGAUUCGGAAGGAUCGUAUGCGCAGACGUUUAAUCCUUUCUCGUUAAACUAUUUUGCUUCAUGCUUUACCAUCUCACUCUUUUCCUUUCCUUUAAUUAUCUCUAUCUUUCGAUGGCCUAUUUUCUGCGUUUUCACUCACAACGCCAAAACUCCUUUGUGUGCUCAUUGCAUUCUCGCGCGAUCAAG
rnacentral:misc_RNA from 1 species